rnacentral:rRNA from 1 species
GAUGAACGCUAGCGAUAGGCUUAACACAUGCAAGUCGAGGGGCAGCAUAGAAGUAGCAAUACUUUGGUGGCGACCGGCGCACGGGUGAGUAACACGUGUGCAACCUACCCAUAACUGGAGAAUAACCCGUCGAAAGGCGGACUAAUACUGCAUAACAUCUCAUUUUCGCAUGAAGAUGAGCUUAAAGAUUAAUUGGUUAUGGAUGGGCAUGCGUUCCAUUAGAUAGUUGGUAGGGUAACGGCCUACCAAGUCUUCGAUGGAUAGGGGUUCUGAGAGGAAGGUCCCCCACACUGGUACUGAGACACGGACCAGACUCCUACGGGAGGCAGCAGUGAGGAAUAUUGGUCAAUGGGCGAGAGCCUGAACCAGCCAAAUCGCGUGAAGGAUGAAGGUAUUAUGUAUUGUAAACUUCUUUUGUCAGGGAAUAAAGUGCGGGACGUGUCCCGUUUUGUAUGUACCUGAAGAAUAAGGAUCGGCUAACUCCGUGCCAGCCGCCGCGGUAA